AUUGAAGGGGGUCUAAGGUUUCCAGGAAGAUGGAAACCCUAGACCCUGGGGCAGGCUUGGCAGGCAGCAGUGGGUGUGGCUUCUGGAGUGGGUGUGUUCCUGGUAAUUUGCAAACAUGGACUUUUCUCAUAUUAAUGUGUUUUGACAUGGGAUAAUCUAUCAACUCCUUUUGGUCAUAUUAUAUACACCAGGCUAUAUUCAAUAUAAUUAAUUUGGCCUAUUUUGUUUUUCAGAGAAAAACAAUUCUCAGAGACAACUUGGUGAUUGGAGCUGUGAACAGUGGAGGCAUGGUGGAUUCUGGGGAUGCUGGGAUGUAUUCUCUGAGCAUCUCUGUACCGUCCACAUUUUUGGCCUCAGACAGCCGAGGAGGAUAAAAGGUCUCUCUCUCUCUGUACCAAUCACAUUCAUGCUCACAGCCCUCCAGGACACCUACAGCACCCAAUGUCACAGGAAGACCAAAUAUCAUCAAGGACAUCAACCACACGAGCUAAGGCCUAUACACCCCGCUACCAUCCAGAAGGCGAGAGGGUGAUGGAGCUGGAUGCUGAUGAAAACCUUCACAAAUUCCUCUUUUUGGAUGAAGCAGGCUUCAACCUGGCCAAGACAAGGAGGAGAGGUUGGAAUCUCAUUGGCCAGCGGGCAACCAACCAAGUACCUGGACAACAUGGGGCCAACAUCACCAUGUGUGCGGCUAUAUCAGAAGACGGUGUGGUGGGACGCAGACCUCGUAUUGGAUCAUAUAAAGCAGCUCUCCUUGUGUAACCUUCUUGAUGAGAUAAAUCGGGUCUGUAGAGCUGAUGUCGUGACCUAUGUCAUUGCGUGGGUUAAUGUCAGGUUCUACCAUGCUCAAAUGGUGCAAGCACGGUUUCAGGCCCAUCCACAAUUUAUCACCCUGUACUUACCCCUAUACUCUCCUUUCCUUAACCCGAUUGAGACAUUUUUCUCCAAGUGGAGGUGAAAGGUAUAUGAUAGGCGCCCUCAGGAACAAGCCACCCUUCUCCAGGCCAUGGAUGAUGUAUGCAAUGACAUCACGGCAGACCAGUGUCAGGCCUGGAUUCACCCUGCCCGAAGAUUCUUCCCAAGAUGUUUGGCCAAUGAAAACAUCCAUUGAUGAGAACCUUUGGCCAAAUCCACAAGACAGGUUUGAUGGAAAUAUAGAAGUACAGUAAUCAAUCCUUUGUUUUGCUUUUUACAGUAAGCCAGGUGAGGAACACUGCAGUUGACAUUUUACUGUAGUGUUUUUCUUUUUUGAAGCUAAUAAUUUUUGCUUUGAUUCAAGGAGACCUGACCUAUGUUGUGAUUUUAUUGUAUUUCAUCAAUACCUUUCAGAUUUUGUUCAAUGAUUCCAAUGUGUCUGUAGUAUUCUCUUUGCUAGUCAUUUUACAGUGAUGUAUUACGUGUAGUACCAUAAUGAAACACGUAUCACAUAUUUUGUACUACAAUAUUUAAUGAUUGUAUGAACAACUACACAGUGAAACUAUUGGUAUAUUGUGUGUGGGUGAUCUAAAUUAAUGUUCCUAUGGUAUUUCAUGAUGAAAGAGUUAUUUGAACCAGUGCAAGGUUUCUUUAAAGAUAUGAAUGCACAAUACAUUGUUUUGAACAUUGGACAGCCUGUGUAACAAGUGAUGACCGUUUUGAGUUUUGUGUCUAGAGUUUUGAAAAAUGACCACAAGAUUCUGAAAUUAGUGCCAAAGGGAUUGUAAAAAACUGUAAAUAGCCAUCACUAAUUGGCUUCCACCCGGUUACGCAACCCUGCACCUUAGAGGCUGCUGCCCUAUAUACAUAUACUUGGAGUGACUGGCCACUUUAAUAAUGGAACACUAGUCACUUUAAUAAUGUUUACAUACUGCUUUACUCAUCUCAUAUGUAUAUACUGUAUUCUAUUCUACUGUAUUUUAGUCAAUGCCACUCCAACAUUGCUCAAUCUAAUAAUUAUAUAUUUCUUAAUUACAUUCUUUUACUUUUAGAUGAGUGUAUAUUGUUGUGAAUUGUUAGAUAUUACUUUACUCUUGGAGCUAGAAACACAAGCCUUUCUCUACAUACCCUUUCUCUGAUCUGUUUCAUCUGUUUCACCUGUCUUGUGCUUGUCUCCACCCCCCACCAGGUGUUUCCCAUUUGUCCCCAUUACCUCACUGUGUAUUUAUACACUAUGAAGUACCUCAGAAAACAAACGUUCACAGAGAGAGAGAGAGAGAUUUUUUAGCAGCCUUCUUAAAGGAAGGGGGUUUGGGUUCAAGGGUUAGGGGUCAGCAUUAGGGGUUAUAGUCAAGGUAACAAUAACAUUCUUAAAACAGGCAAAUGCUCAUAUUUCAGUUUGUAGCCAGAGCUCUGAACUUGAUUCCUUUCAUGGAACUUAAGUAUGUUUGUUUUUAUCCAUCACAUGCAUCUUUUUACUCUGUAUGAAAUGUUCACUGCUGUAAAAAUGAAAAGCAGGCUAAAUAAAUUGACUUCAACCAUCCUGUAAUCUCUUACUUCACA
ensembl:lncRNA